CCUGGCUCAAGUAGGAUCUACCUAUCCAAGAUGGCGGUUCGCGGCGGCACAGGGUUUCCUCCGCUGUGUACAAUGGACUGGAGGGACAAAGAGCAUCAGUGGAAGAGGUGACGCUUCAUGCUGCGUGAGUCUUGCCUCACCUGUACAGUGAAUUGGUAUUCCCUAUCGCCUACAACCACAUCCUCAGCAUCAGCAGCAGCAGGCCGGCCAGUGCGCAUGCGUAGUUCAGUUGGCUGCGCGAGGGGGCGCUGUUGCAUAGGUCCGAGUCGCAGCAGUGGAUGCGCACGCCUGGCAGCUCCUGUUGUUGGCAGUGUCUGGACGUGGCACAGCCGCUGGUCAGGACGAUGCCCAGUGCCGCUGCAUGGAUGAAUGGAGAAGACGACAAGUCAGUCGCCGAGUCGUCGACUGCCUCAGCAGGAAAAAAGCUGCAGUAGGCAGCAAAUAGUGUAAGUCGGUAAUUAGCGGUUCAUUUACAUGUCAAACAAACGGCAUUAUUUGAGGAAAUACCUAUUGUGACUGACUAAAUUGGUUUAUGUAAUUGCAUAAACUACUCGUCUGAUAUCAAUGCACUUUUGAUACAAAUACAUUUUUGUUAUGAUAAAAAAAAGUGAAAAUGUUCACGGGAAAUGGAAGUCAAAUUCCGUUUUCGCAGAUUGUUUCAAGGUUAUAAUUAGCAUUUGGAAAAUUCCUAAAUCCAACCUGACGUCCACUGGACACAAGGAGCUCAGCACAAAGGACUUCUUUCAUAAUCUUUAUAAUUGAGAGUCCAGUCCCAAGGUAAGCGUCACAUGCCCCCAAUGUCAAAAUGCAUUUCCCCCUUUCUUUUAUUUGUUUUCUGACCUCUCAGGAGGUCAUGUUUUCCUCACCUCAGGUAUGUUUUUGUGCAGAUUCCUGGCAGCUGUUUUUUUCUUCUCGUUUUUAGAAACCUCAAUUUAUCCAAAGAUAUCGCCCAUGAAAUUUUCCACAACAUCUACUAACAACCCAGACUAAGCUCUGCUCUGACAUACAAAGAUGUCAAUUCAACAAACUUCCGUGACACAAAAUUCUAUUCAGAUUUCUUUUUCCAAAACACACAAAAAUCAGAUUCCACUCGGAAUAAAACGCAAAGAAGUGAAUUUAUGAACAGCGAAUCACGACUGCGACAUUUUAAGCCUUGGCGGAGGUCACGCUGAUUGCUGAUUUUGACAGUGUGUUUGUCAGUCGGUGUGAUGUUGUCAGCCUUGGUCUUAGCUUGCACUCUCUUAAAGGAGGAGAGAAAAGGUGCCUCAUCAGCCCCUCGGGCUUCCGGACGUCAAGCGAGGCAACAUCUGGAUGUGUGUGUGCGCGCAUCUCAGCAUCUGACCAUCACCGCCGCCCUGUUGAGGACAUCCUCCGUUUGACUUCACAUGGCACAACGAGGGGCCUCUCACGGACUCGGCAAGGCGACUAAAACGGCGGCGUUAUAAGCGGUGCUUGAAGCCCUUGUGUGAGUGGGUGCAGGUGAGCACCUCUGGGUUGGAGCAGCCCACGUCCACGUACCGCUGAUCUUGGAUGAUGUUGCAGCCAUAGCACUGCAGACCCUCUACUACGCGGGUAACAAAGAGAGAAAAGACAACUUGACAAGGUAAUGAUCAGGCCUGUUAUUGUGCCCCUAUUGAAGGAAGGCUAAACACAAUCAUCAUAAAUAAUCAUAAUAGAAUAGAAUUACUGCGGUAGAAAGCUUAACGAUACAGCGGGGGGGGGGGGGGGGUAACAUAAUAAGGAAGCUUAACAUAAUACCUUUUGUGGCCGAUAUUUUUCAUUAGUAGUAUUAUAUUGGUGUGUCUAUUCAUGCUAGGUGAUGAUCAAAUUGAGUAGUGCGCAAGCAUAAAUUCAUGAGGGGUGUGCCCCUGGAUCGGUUCAUAACGUGUCAGAACAUUGGCAAAAAUGUUCAUUGUCUAAUUUUAAUUCAACACAAAGAUAAUCAAUUCGCUUUCAGGGAGGACUAAAUAAAUCUGAUAAUAUUCUUGCGAUGCGGAAAUCCUCCACGCAUCUGAAUACAGCUUUUUAUUUAUUUUGUCUUUUUUGGGGGGUAUUUAUUUUGUCAUUGCACAUCCACUACAGUAGGUGGCAGUGGCGGCACUCUUAUAAUGCCAUAAUCAGUACAUGGAGUUAAAACUGUGCCAGUAAAGUCAUUCAAUGAAUUUAUAUUUCUUUUUUGGGUUUCUUUUAAUGCAAAUAAGGAUACAAUGUUAUGCAGAAGUGUACUGCUAACAAUUGUUACACAGCAUUGCAUUAGGGGGAGAGCCCCCACAGUUGUUUUUCGAUUUAAUACGGCGCAUUGAUACGCUUGCAACAUUAAAUGUAUUCUUUUUUUUUUUUAUUAUAUAUUUUUAUUUUGACUGUCAGUGUCUGACUUCCCUUUUAAUGGGCACUUUCUGUGAAGGUCAUUAGUUUUGGCUUGUAAAUUCUGCCUAGCAACAAGCGCAAAAUGUUCUAAAUCUAAACACACAAGGUCCAUUUAUGUGAGCUAAUUCCCCCCACAAAAAAGAUUUUGUUUUCCUUUCAAGAAAGCCACUUGAACUGAUGACAUUAUCGUGCUCAGCGCUCGAAGAGCAGUUAAUCUAAAACGUCACUGGGAUUCAUCUUGAGGGCUGUUUUUCCUCUUCCCCUCAUCUUGAGUGACAAGCGUAAAAAAAAGACGCAUUGUUGAUCUUUUUUUCUCCAGCUUUUGGCCAAACAGCGACGGACUCAGCCUCAGUAGUGUGUCACCAUUUCAAAGCUUAGCAACCUGCAUACGUUGGAGGCGACGGCACAGAAAAUGACUCAAGGGUGCAGGAUGGAAGUGGUGGAUUGAGGGGGGGGGGGGGGGGCUGACGCUUCCUUUUCAAGUGAUGAUUCAAAUGAUUUGCCCAAACAGACGCAAGUGGGGCACAUCGAGACCCUCUAGCAACGACUUCUUUCAGGAAUUAUCCGGGUUCUUUUCAUGUUUUCGCCCAGUACUUUCAAGAAAAGAUGCGGGCUGAAUCCACCUGGGCGGGGUGGGGGUUAAGCCGGGAUUGCCUGUGAAUUCAGAGCGAUCGCACACACCUGCGACUGACCCGCCAAAUCCCGCACACACAAGAUGGAAGAUCAGCUUUGGAGCUGAAACCAAUCCGCCCUCUUUAUCUGCGGUGGCCCACGGAGGACACCAGCCUCUCACUUGCCUGGCCGCCGCUAAAUAGCCAAACCCAAAGCCGGGAUGGAGCUUUCAGGAGUGAACUAAUCCUGCCGCAAAUGCUCUUACAAAAAUCACUUUUGGAAAUCUGAUGGAAUCGAUGUAAAGCUUCGCCGGGCCUGCAAGUGCGUGCCAAGCUUUAAGGGGAUGUGUCAGAUUUCGACCCAUAGUGGUGAUACGAGACCAGGGGUCAGGUAACCCCCAAGGAAAUAGCUCACCAGUGAUGGGGCAUUGUGAUUCCCCAAGAAUGUUGUCAAAGUCAUCAUUUUCAAACUCACAUUCUCACCUGUGGACAAUUUCUGGGUUAGGAAUGUUGACUCUUCACCUAAUCGUCGCUGUAUAUUUUUUUUUUCGGCCCAUUUCCAAAUUUGCACCACCUCACGGCGGGGGCAUUCUAAGUAUUCCAUUAGCGCAGCAUUAAGGCUUGCCGCGUUUGUUUUGCCGGAUGGAAAUGAUGGCAAUUUACAUCGGGCAAAAGAAGCUGAUUUAACUCUUCAUUAGCAUGCAAUGCUGCACGCUGGCUGCACUCAUGAAGCAGUGAGGAGCUGCUGCCCAGUUAUGAGCAUUUGUCAACAUAAUGAGGACUUACUGGGGAGACAUUCUACCCUCACGCCUCACUCCCCCACCCCCUAUUGGUAAACUCCAAUUUAUUCUCACUGCACGCCAGGUUGUCUCGGACCAAAAACGGAUGAAUUGUAAACACGUCUCACUCCAAUGGUACCAACGUAGGAUUCGCUGGCAGCUACUUGUUUUAUGCGGCCAUUGCGCUGCGAUUAUAUAUCUAAUGGGAAAGGAAGCUUAAAUACUGUGAUUGUUAAUAUUUUUGUCUGAAAAACUAAAAAGUUAAACAAAAAAAGGACUAAAAAUAGCCAGUGGGGCAAUGCAACCAAUGCUCCCUAAUACAAUACAUGCGAAGUGAUUGUGUCAAUUUUUUUUUUCUUUUUAAUGCUUUUUUCUUUCUUCUUCUGAAAGAGGAGUAAAUCCGUAAGAUUCUCUACUACAAUGUACUGUACUGACUUUUAUAAUUAAUAGAAACUGAAUUGAAAGAAGUGUCGCUUAUUAAAAAAAAAUACGAAGAAAACAAUGUUUCAUUUGAUCAGACCUUAUUUAAAAUUGAUCAAUUGAUUGAUCAUGUGACCUGUCGGCUCUUCAACUUUCUUGAUUUAAAAAAAAAAUGCGUGUGACUAGCAUUAGCCUCAUGCUAGCAUUUUU